AAAUAUAUAACAUAUACGCAUUAUUUUUUUAAUCAAAACAAUAAUUAAAACCAUGGAUGAUAGAAAAAUAUAGAUUAUGUCCAUUUUGUACUAGACGCAAUCAAAAAAGCUUUAAUAUUAUAUAUAUAGUAUAAUAAAAUUGCCAUUAAAUUUUUGUUUAUAACUUUAGUUUCUGAAAUAUUUUAACUGAUUUUACUUUUAACUGAUUUUUUUUAUGUAUUUGGCGUUGCUACCGCAUCACUUGAUGUUUUCUAAUGUAUUACCCUUAUAUAAUUGAACAGGAAACAUGUGACAUAUGUUGUCAAGCUCACCCUGAUUUCUAGAAGAUAUUAGCCGUUGCUCAUUAUACGAUAAAAAGUUAUUAAUAAUUAACAAAUGUUUUAUAAUCAAAAUUUUUUUUAUUUGGACUUUAAUUAUAGACCUCGUUUUUUAUUGUAAGCACUGGAGAGGCAAAAUUUGUUUUCGUGGAAAACACGAGGUUUAUAAUUAUUUUAUUCCAUAGUGAGUUGCGAAUGCGAAACAAAGAGCUCUGACUCUUCUCUUGCAUUACCGCAUAAAAAGUAUAUAACAUAUUCAAUCAAAAUUUAUUUUAAAUAUUUUAAAAUACUUUUUAUCCCAAUUUUUGUAUCUAUUAUUUUUAUAAAAAGUCUUUAGACAAUAAAUAUGUUUUCUAAUAACAUACAAUUACUGCUAGUUUUAAUAAAUUCGGAGAUAGAAGAUAUUCGACAGUAGUAAUAUUUAAAACAAUAUACGUAAAAAAAUAUUAUAAUAUCAAUUAACGGAAAGUAAUAAAAGUAAAAAAGAAUGGCAAAAUGAUCGGAGCUUGUGCAUGCACUCCUGGGUUAAUAAGAAUUACAUUUUUGUAUCUAAUGAUGUAUAAUUAAAAAUGCAUUAAUCUACUUUAAAUUUACUUUAUAAAAAAUAUACAAUAAUUUAUUUUUGUGAUUAAUAUAUAUAUACAUAUAAUUAGUAUAAUUAGUACAUAUAAUUUUAUAUUACAUAAAUAAGACUUAUAAUUUUAGAUCGAAUCACUCUAAAAAUUGAUAUAUUAUGGAUUGUAAAAUAAAAAAGUACAUAGAAAGAGAGGGGUACGUCAAAAUCGCACUUAAUGAUGCGGAAUAUGAUUAUAUGUUUUAAAUUACAUAUAAUCAUAAUCUGCAUCGUUAAGUGUAAUUUUGACGUACUUUUUUCUCAGAUAAAAGAAAUUUACUACCCGUGAUUGGAUAUCUUGUAUUUAUUUGGGAAACUAUGAAAUGAUGAAAGAAUUAAUGUUCGCAAUAGUAUCAAUAAUAUUUCGAGAUAUAAACUUUAUUUGUGCUACUCAUUUUACAAAAAGUAAUACUAUGACAUUAAGGAUUGCGAUACAAAAAGUAGAUGGAAAGUUUGAAAUAACUGAAGAUGACAGCGUUGUAUUAAUAGGCACAGCAUACGACACAUCAAAUCCAGAACAAGAAAUGACUUCGAUAGAUUUAUCAUUAGAGAAUAAUGAUGAAAAAAAACAAAUGACAAAUUUGUAAGUUCUUAUGUGUAUUUAAAAACUGGUAAUUAGUCCUGAACUUCACAUUUCGAAGCUACGAGAUAACGUAGAUUAUGUAAAAGACGUCAAACAUGGAUAAAAAUGAAUGUUAAUUGGUCAGUUCUAUUUUGUUUUGCUAUAUUGUAUUUGUAAUAAAGUAUCUAAACUUUAUUACCGAUACAAAUAUCUAAAGAGACGGACAAAUAAAAAAUAUUUACAGAGACAGACACGAUUAUAGCUACAACUUGGACUGGAAGAUCAUCAAAUUUACUUAGUAUCAAGUUUUUACUUAAAGUAGAAGUCAUUGAGCUAGAAAAAGAUGUCGACAAUGUUGCAUCAGAACACCUUUCAUCUUUAUUUAUUGAUCGAGGCUUUCGAAGAUAAGCCAUUAGUACAAACAAAUAUCACUCUAGUAACUUCGCCAAAUCGUUUUAGUUUUAAUCACAGAUUUGAACAAAUUAACGACAAAGUCUUAGUAGUUGAUUCAAUUUCAUGUCUAAAUAGCAUAUUUUUUUAGACUAUUAUAAGGAAUCAAACAGCGGAAACGUUUGCAGAGUUCUUUUAGUCAAAGACUCGAGCAACGCAAACUUUAAGAGAAUACGACAAAAUUCCGAAGUUUUUUUUCAAAAAGUUUUGCCUGGCGGCAUUUUGUAGUGUUCUCUUCCGUUUGCUGUGACAGAGGUAACCCUAGACAGACUAAUUAUGAUUGCCAACUCUGUUAUGGAAAGAAUUUGUGUAAAGAGAGAGGAGGAAGGAUUACCCGGAUUGUCAAUUCAGUGGGAAGCUGUUGGUGACGUGGGUCUCGUCACUGACAUACAAGAGGACCAUAAGGAAUUGGUUAUUAGUGGUACCUUACAACAAAAAAUAUCCUACUGCCUUGACAAACUUGAUUAAUAAUUUUUUUUCAGUUACCAUCAUAUUACUUACAAUUGGUUGAAUUUUACUUUCAAACCAUGUGCGCAGCAUGGUAAUAACUGAAAAAAAAAAAACGCAAUCUGUCGAAUAUAGAAGUUUGAUAGAAACUAUCGCCAAUAUUUUAGAUUUAGUACAAAUUUAAUUUCUUCUUUAUACUUACUAUAACUUUAAUCCAGUUUAUUCUUCAACUAGUACAUUAUAGCUCAAGUCAAAAUAAUUUUCUAUUUAUGUUAUAAAUAUAAAAAAUAUAAAAGUUGCAAGUCAAAACAUAACAUCUCUGGCCGAACUUGGAAUGGACUACAUGAUAGCUGUGGAAAUCAAACAAUCUCUAGAUUUUAAUCAAGAGAUCAAAACAAAUUUCUGAAGACAAAGAUUUUAUUUCAGAAAUCUUUUUUGAUCUCUUGACUCAAAGAGAGAAUACUACGACUGAAGUUUUUCUUGUAGCCAGGCAUCGACGGAUAUGGAACAGUAUUUAAUCAUUUAGCAUCAGAUAUUAAUUUUUUAGCAACGCUUUUGCAUUAUAAUACAAAUAAGGUCAAUGCUGCAAACUUUAUAUUAGAGAUAAUCGAUUGUCUAACCAAUGUACUUAAACGUACUAAUAAUUUCAUAUUAUAUUCAUCAGGAAUUUUUAUUCUUUUAUGAGAUUUAAGAUUUUACGAAUACUUAAUAUUUUUACAACAUAUAUUGUCAAAACUGAGAGACGGAAAAGACUUCGUAAUUGUAAGGUACUCUCUAUUAUUGACUGAGUUAACAAAAAAAUUAAAAGCUAUAAAUUUUAAAGUCUGUUUGGUUCUUAUUAACAGCGCUCUUGAACAAAUACAAAUAAUAAGCAAACAUUUUAGAUUCUAACGAUGAGGCAGAUCUUCAAAUUGGUGUUCUAAACAUUAUUAUGGAAAUUUAUUAACCAAGAACUAAUAAAAAAAUAUAAUUAUUUUCCGAUAAUUUAUCAAUAAUAAUUUAAAUUAUUUUAAAUUAUUUUUAAUAGAUUACCGAGAAUAAGGUAUAUUUUUUAAAUAGUUUCUGGUAAGUAAAUUUCCAUAAUAAAUUUCCGUAAUUAGAACACCAAUUUGAAGGUCUGCUUUAUUAUUAGAAUCUCAUAUAAAAUGUUUGCUUAUUAUUCGUAGUGCGCACUAGUGCAGUCUAAUCAAAUUCGCUAUAAGUUUAAUAAUUAUUUUACGAUUAAUAAUAAUUAUUAAAAAAUGUAUAAAUAUAUUAUAAUUUUAAAAAUUAUUAUUAAUUAUAAGUUAUUCAUUGUAAAUUAUUAUUAAUCGUAUUAAUCGUAUGAAAUCUAGUGCUCACUGGCGCAUAUUAAAACUGUUUUACACUUUAAUCUAACAAGGGGAGGUCGCAGUUGACUCUUCUCCGAUUAUGCUGAGCUUCAUAUGAUGAAUCUACAUUGAAAAAAAAUUGUUCCGUGUUCAAGCUUUUCAUCCAAUGCGUCUCUAGAAUAAAGUUUUUUAUAACAAUCGACAAUGUGGUUUAUAAAACAUAAAGAAAAACUCGUUAUUACACAGUGCCAUAUAAAAAUGCUCUAGUAAUAAUGCUCUAAGAGCGGAAAUAUGCAAUGAAUAUGUAGAUUUUAGUAACACUAUAGGAGAAUUUAGAGGCGGAAAUAAAGAAGGAUCAUUAUAAUUAUUCAAAUUAUCGACCGAAUGAUCAUAUAGUAGUACUGACUAUCGGCGCCGUCGUCGCUGACAAGAGUUCGAAGUUCGAGGUUUGAGGCGAAAUUCAUAUGCGAAAAGCACGAGUCGAUUUGAAGCCACGGAUAUGGUAACGCGUAUUGUCAAAUAUACUAUAUUAGAAUAAAUUGAAACUACGUACUAGUUACUUUGGAGAAAUUAAUUUUAGUGUUGUGCUUGUCUGAGUUAUCACAAAAAAUCCAUUGAAUAUCAUCAAACAAAACAAUAAAGUCGAAAAAAAGAUAAAAGAUUAUAAACUGUUGUAGUGUAGAGUAAUGAAAAAGCCAACACGAGAAUUGACAAAAAGUGCAUGUUUGUAUCCGCGGAAGAACAGAACGAGAAAUUACGUGUUUUGAUUGACGGUCGAAUCCGCCUGUCGAGGUAAUAGUUAAUUCGCGGCGAGUUUUACGAUGGUAUUGUGACAGUUCGAGAUUAGUGACGUGUUGACGUGCGCGAGGUUAGUUGUGAUUUUAGUUUUAUGCAUAAUUUGCAUAUUACAUUGUGGAUUACAUCGU